AGAGUUUGAUCAUGGCUCAGAAUGAACGCUGGCGGCGUGCCUAAUACAUGCAAGUCGAACGCGAAAGUGCCUUUCGGGGCAUGAGUAGAGUGGCGAACGGGUGAGUAACACGUGAGCAACCUGCCCUUAAGUCGAGGAUAACCAAUCGAAAGGUUGGCUAAUCCUGGAUAUAGCCAUAUAUAGGCAUCUAUAUAUGGUUAAAGCUGGGGACCGUAAGGCCUGGCGCUUAGGGAUGGGCUCGCGGCCUAUUAGGUAGUUGGUGGGGUGAAGGCCUACCAAGCCGAUGAUGGGUAGCCGGCCUGAGAGGGUGGACGGCCACACUGGGACUGAGAUACGGCCCAGACUCCUACGGGAGGCAGCAGUAGGGAAUAUUGCGCAAUGGGGGAAACCCUGACGCAGCGACGCCGCGUGAGUGAGGAAGCCCUUCGGGGUGUAAAGCUCUGUUGUUAGGGAAGAAAGGUAUAUAGGUUAAUAGCCUAUAUAUUUGACGGUACCUAACGAGGAAGCUCCGGCUAACUCCGUACCAGCAGCCGCGGUAAUACGGGGGGAGCGAGCGUUAUUCGGAAUUACUGGGCAUAAAGGGCGUGUAGGCGGUUGUAUAAGUCAGGGGUGAAAAUCUGAGGCUUAACUUCAGACUUGCCUUUGAUACUAUACGACUAGAGUACUGGAGAGGUGAGUGGAAUUCCUGGUGUAGCGGUGAAAUGCGUAGAUAUCAGGAAGAACACCGGAGGCGAAGGCGGCUCACUGGCCAGAUACUGACGCUGAGGCGCGAAAGCGUGGGUAGCAAACAGGAUUAGA
rnacentral:rRNA from 1 species